GGCCAGCUGCAGCAGCCAGACAGGCGUUAAAGCAGGUUGGAAGAGAGUCGUCGUGAAAGACCCAGAGUACGCUGGGACAGUAGCAGGCGGUUAUGAAGCAGACGAGGAGGGGGAAGAGUCGAGGCCACAGGAGGAACGUUACGUUGCUAUCAGAGCCAACUGAAGCCGAACUUUGGUGCUUUAAGGACUAUGCCUUUGGUUUGGAGAUGUCUCUGCUUUCUUUAAGACACUUUGUUUG